AAAAACCACGAAUAAACGAAUCUAACCAUUAUUUUCAAUAGACAUGUGGAAUUUUUAUAAUAAUCAACUAAUGAUUAGCCACGAACAAACAAUGCUGUUGAAGGUUGGCACCGUGCUUUAAACGCAUUGUCGGGAUGUCAUCAUACGGCUAUUUGGAAAUUUAUAUUUUUUAUUGAAGCAGAAACAAGGGUUCCAAGAAGCGAAAAUAGAUAAAAAUUAUUUUAGGUGAAAAUAACCU